rnacentral:rRNA from 1 species
GAAGCGGUGGAUGAUGUGGAUUAAUUCGAUGCAACGCGAGAAACCUUACCUACCCUUGACAUGUACGGAAGCCCACUGAGAGGUGGGCGUGCUUGAAAGAGAACCGUAACACAGGUGCUGCAUGGCUGUCGUCAGCUCGUGUCGUGAGAUGUUGGGUUAAGUCCCGCAACGAGCGCAACCCUUGUCAUUAAUUGCCAUCAUUUAGUUGGGCACUUUAAUGAGACUGCCGGUGACAAACCGGAGGAAGGUGGGGAUGACGUCAAGUCCUCAUGGCCCUUAUGGGUAGGGCUUCACACGUCAUACAAUGGCCGGUACAGAGGGUUGCCAACCCGCGAGGGGGAGCCAAUCCCAGAAAGCCGGUCGUAGUCCGGAUUGUUCUCUGCAACUCGAGAGCAUGAAGUCGGAAUCGCUAGUAAUCGCGGAUCAGCAUGUCGCGGUGAAUACGUUCCCGGGUCUUGUACACACCGCCCGUCACACCAUGGGAGUGGGUGAUACCAGAAGUAGGCAGUCUAACCGCAAGGAGG